rnacentral:rRNA from 1 species
UACGGGGGGGGCAAGCGUUGUUCGGAUUUACUGGGCGUAAAGGGCGCGUAGGCGGUGCGGUAAGUCACUUGUGAAAUCUCUGAGCUUAACUCAGAACGGCCAAGUGAUACUGCAGUGCUAGAGUGCGGAAGGGGCAAUCGGAAUUCUUGGUGUAGCGGUGAAAUGCGUAGAUAUCAAGAGGAACACCUGAGGUGAAGACGGGUUGCUGGGCCGACACUGACGCUGGAGCGCGAAAGCCAGGGGAGCGAACGGG